CUCUAUGGUUGCACAUAAGAUUCCUGUAUGACUGCCACCAGGGCCAGAUUAAGAGCCCAGUGGGCCUGGUACUGACAAUUAUGAUGGGCCUAAUCACAAAAUCAUAUCGACCAAAAACACAAACAGUCCUACCACCCAAGCUUCAUGUAUCUGAUGGAGAUGGUGCUGGAGGGAAACUCAUAGGAUGCAGCUAUAACAAAACACAUACCCUAUGCUAAUCUCACGCUUUCAUCUUAAAAGUAAA